UUACGCGGAUCAUUUGAUCGUAGGGAAUGUGUCUAAUAGAGUUGUUUUGGCUAACCAGACUAAGGUAGAAUAUAAUGCUAUUCCGUUUAUGAAGAGGGUGAAAUAUUUCUUCUAUUCGCAGACGGAUAAUCGGUUGAUACAGGGCAUCCAAGCUCUGGACACUCUCCACAGUAAGGCGUCUAUCAACAUCACGGCUGGUGGAGUGGGCUACUCCUACGUGAACCUUCGGCUGAAGAGUGAGAGGGGCAGAGGAUUGAGCUACGAUAUAGGCAUAUAUGUGCAGGAUUAUUUCUAUCAUUAAAUUGUUUUAGAGGGUA